AUUGAACGCUGGCGGCAGGCCUAACACAUGCAAGUCGAACGAGUGGCGGACGGGUGAGUAAUGUCUGGGAAACUGCCUGAUGGAGGGGGAUCACUACUGGAAACGGUAGCUAAUACCGCAUACCAUCGGAUGUGCCCAGAUGGGAUUAGCUAGUAGGUGGGGUAAAGGAUCACCUAGGCGCCGAUCCCUAGCUGGUCUGAGAGGAUGACCAGCCAAACUGUAACUGAGACACGGUCCGGACUCCUACGGGAGGCAGCAGUGGGGAGUAUUGCACAAGGGGCGCAAGCCUGAUGCAGCCAUGCCGCGGGUAUGAAGAAGGCCAUCGGGUUGUAAAGUACUUGCAGCGGGGAGGCGUUACCCGCAGAAGAAGCACCGGCUAACUCCGUGCCAGCAGCCGCGGUAAUUC
rnacentral:rRNA from 1 species